rnacentral:lncRNA from 1 species
CAGGGGAGAGGAAGUGAGACGACGCAAUUGGUGAAUAUGUUGUAAAAUGCAGUGACAGAUAUCCUUGGAUCAGUCUCAUUUUAAUUAUCAGCCCUCUGAUAUAGAGGAUAUUUUGUAUCAACUUCAUAUCCAACUACCAGUCAACAAGGAACAUAAUCCGCUGUCAAAACUUUGACCUAAUAGAACUAGUUUUCCGAAUAGAUGAGGAUCCAACUAACCUCAGACCUGGCUAACAA